rnacentral:snRNA from 1 species
GAAUAUCAGGGCCAUUUAGCUGAGAUACAUGCACCUCAUUGGUUACCAGGAUUGAUCCAGCUGAUCUGACAGGCUACAAAGGUGUCCCCUUCUUCCUUCCCUGCUCCAUAUGCUUCUCUCCUCACAGUGCUAUUGACUGAAGAUGACCCUGACAAUAGAGCAACCUUUCUUGAGUCAAGACCACACAGUCAGAUGUGCUUCUCAGCUAUAACCCCAAAACAUACUAUCAAAUUAAAGCAUGACUUUGGAGUGAUCAUAGCAUUGAAGCUCUAACCACCCCACAAGCAUAAAUGCAUACCUUCGUUCCUGAAGGAUAUGGGCCAU